rnacentral:rRNA from 1 species
CGGAGGAAAAGAAACCAACUGGGAUUACCUUAGUAACGGCGAGUGAAGCGGUAAAAGCUCAAAUUUGAAAUCUGGUACUUUCAGUGCCCGAGUUGUAAUUUGUAGAAUUUGUCUUUGAUUAGGUCCUUGUCUAUGUUCCUUGGAACAGGACGUCAUAGAGGGUGAGAAUCCCGUUUGGCGAGGAUACCUUUUCUCUGUAAGACUUUUUCGAAGAGUCGAGUUGUUUGGGAAUGCAGCUCAAAGUGGGUGGUAAAUUCCAUCUAAAGCUAAAUAUUGGCGAGAGACCGAUAGCGAACAAGUACAGUGAUGGAAAGAUGAAAAGAACUUUGAAAAGAGAGUGAAAAAGUACGUGAAAUUGUUGAAAGGGAAGGGCAUUUGAUCAGACAUGGUGUUUUUUGCAUGCACUCGCCUCUCGUGGGCUUGGGCCUCUCAAAAAUUUCACUGGGCCAACAUCAAUUCUGGCAGCAGGAUAAAUCAUUAAGAAUGUAGCUACUUCGGUAGUGUUAUAGCUUUUUGGAAUACUGUUAGCCGGGAUUGAGGACUGCGCUCGGCAA